GCUAGGUCCUUUUCGUUAAAACUCCCUAUAUUUUUUUGGGCAUGGAAAUUAGACAACGUAAGGUAAGGUCCCUCUCAUGCAUUUACAACAUCCACAUGCAGUUUCCUCUCGACCAUUUCAAACCCUCUAAAGAGGCUCAUAAUUUCAAGUCCCUCUCGCUCCUCCACCUAUAUAUAUGUUCCAUUACCACACAAUUUCAAACCCUCUAAUGUGAUGUUGGAAAGAAAAAUGAAAAGUUAUAGCUAAA
rnacentral:lncRNA from 1 species